GAGAAUUGUACAUUGAAUACCAAAAGGAGCGGGUUCACAUGGUGGAUGAUGCGAGACUAGCAUUUGAACUAAGCACAGUUCUCUCUAAGGAGGGGAUUGAAGUCUGCAUGGUACCUUCUGCUGAUAGGCCAGAUGAUGCCAAAUUUGCUGUACCACUUCUGGAGUCUGACUUUGACUUUGCCAUUGCCAAACUCACCAUUA